CCUACGGGAGGCAGCAGUGGGGAAUAUUGGGCAAUGGGCGCAAGCCUGACCCAGCAACGCCGCGUGAAGGAAGAAGGCUCUCGGGUUGUAAACCUCUUUUCUCAGGGACGAAGCAAGUGACGGUACCUGAGGAAUAAGCCACGGCUAACUACGUGCCAGCAGCCGCGGUAAUACGUAAGGGGCAAGCGUUAUACGGAUUUACUGGGUGUAAAGGGCGCGUAGGCGGGAAGGCAAGUCAGAUGUGAAAACCACGGGCUCAACCUGUGGCCUGCAUUUGAAACUGUUUUUCUUGAGUAAUGGAGAGGCAGACGGAAUUCCUAGUGUAGCGGUGAAAUGCGUAGAUAUGAGGAGGAACACCAGUUGCGAAGGCAGUCUGCUGGACAGCAACUGACGCUGAGGCGCGAAAGCGUGGGGAGCAAACAGGAUUAGAUACCCGGGUAGUC
rnacentral:rRNA from 1 species